rnacentral:lncRNA from 1 species
CACUGCCACUCAUUCGUUCCUCUUUUUCCUGCAUGUGGAACCAACUACCACAUUCUCUUAAAGGUCCACAUAAUCAGAAAUUCAUGUUUGAUUUAAUGAUUAGAUAUGGCUUCACUUAACACUUAAUCAUUUAAUUGUUUGUUUGUUUUUCUUGAAUAAAUAUCUUGAAAUGAAGAUUUUAAUGUAUUUUUGGUGACCUUGUACGUUCAGUUGGCCCUGCCCCCCCCCCAAAAAAAACCCCGGCAAUGUGAUGACAUCAUGUUUCACAUGACCUGCCACUUCAUCUCAAAGAUACUUUUGCCAGGGACUUAUGUUUAUGUGCGGUGUACAUAUGUUCUGAACUCUGUGAAAUACUGAGAAUGCCAGCUCGAUGCAUUGUUUCUGGUUAUAGCAAUACAACCAAAAUGGUGUGAAUAUGCCUGUUUUCCCAAAAGAUCCAGCUGGAAGGGAAAUUUUGACAGCCUAAACGAAACUUACCAGAGGAAAAUGGCAUGGCCCAACUGCUUCAAGCAUCAUCCAUAGCAUCCAUUUUGAAGAUAAUUCAUACAUCGGCCUGUGUUCCCAGUUUGGGAUGAGUACAUUGAAGCACAUGAAAGCCGAUGUGAUCUCCACGAAUAUGAGAUAAUUCUAAUCUAAUGGAAAUCAAGAAAAAGGACAGAACAGCUGUGGAAAAGUGCGAGAAACUGAGGGCUGUCAAAUAGGCCGCAAUUACAGAGCGAGGAUGAUUACAAAGCCCGGGUGCCAGCUUGAAAAAAUGACUCACCAAUUAGCUGCCGAGUGACCACAAAUCAACAUUCGAACCCUGAGAGAAGAAUUACAAGAGUAGCCCUGAUCAGUGGGUGAUGGACUGGCAAUGAGAGGGUGUUUUGGAUGUGCACCCAUCAGCAUUCAUGUGUAACACUGGCAGGUCGCUCCUCAAGGGACAGGACAACAUGGACCGGCCAGAUGAGAGCGGCCCAGGCUGCUAUCAUGUGACAAGUUCUGAUUGCCACGGGCCUUUUAACCCACCUGGCCAGGUCUUGGGCGAAGGCAAAAAAGACCCAAUAAGAGUGGUGUCUUUGUCACAGAUGUGGCAAGGAGAGGAGUCGAUCUUCACAAGAGGUCUCAUUGCCAGCCACAGGACCCAACCUUCAGAAUGGAUGGAUGUUAAGCCACAGGACCCAACCGUCAGCACUGGUCAUUGGUGGAUGUGAAAGCUCCAGGGCACUGUCUUUCACGAAGAGUCGGUCUGCCAUACUGGUCAAAUCCAAUAAAGGAUGACCGUGGAACUGGCUGCCAGAUUUGGUAUUAUAAUAAAUUCUGGUAGAUGAAUACACAUCCUUGAACACAGUGAGGGUGCCUCGGAAGCCACCACUGGAAUGUGUGUUCAGCAUGAAUCCCACAUCCAACAAGUAAUGCUGGCAGACAGAACCUCAUGUUAACACCCCAUCCAGCGGAUGGCACACUCAUUGAUAUGAUGCAUUGUGAGCUCAGUGGUGAGAUGCGGCGUGAGUGAUUGGAUUUCCUGAUUUUGUACGUAGUAUGUAGACGCGCUGAUUCUACUUUAUAUCAUUUGCUUCGUGUGUUUGCUGCGAGAAAUUAUAGCAUACUUUUACCUUUUCUGCCUUUUAGUCUUUUGUCUCGAUCUCAGUGUGCAAAAAGAGAAAAAGGCAAUUAAAUGUAACGUAUGGAAAAAUUCCACUCAUUGUCUCUCUCAGCUCCACAGUCAGUUUCUCGUGAGGUGUGAAGCGAAAAUGAUUAUGCCUUCAAUGGAGAGGCAGCAAUCGUUGUUUUGGAACCAGCUGGGUAAAUAUGAACUACAGAAGGAAUUUUAAACUGCUCCUACUUUCCUUCUCCAAGAGCUUGACCAUCCUUGCAACAACCAACCCCACUCCCUACUCAACUAGACACACACACACACACACACACACUCCCCAUGUUCUGUUGAUAAUAAUAGGCUCACAGGAUGGGGAGGGGAAAAGAUGACAUAAUGAUAAUGAAGACACAAUUGCAUCUGUGAUUGGCUGAUUUUUUUUUUCCAAUAAAAGAGGAUCCUCAUACAGCAAUCGGGAGGAUAAGCAGCACAGAAGUGAGAGAGCUACGGGAGGAGCACGCAGUCAUUUAUGGAGUUGUCCCGUGCACAGCAAUGUCAGAGAACAGUGAGAUUUGGACUGGGUGUGGCUUGAGGAAUGAGCAGGUUCGGUCAACCAUAGUCACAGCCAUGUAGCCAUGCAUACAGCCUUAACCAGGACAGUGACCUGACAGAUCGUUGACCCCACGAGUGGAAUUUCAGCCAUAUUGAAACUCUGAGAGAUAGCCCAAAGGAGUACAGCAGAUUAAGACCAUGAAUACCAUUGCAUUUCAUUAGAGAAACUGUAAAUGGUGUCUUUUUCCCUUUCACUUACCUAAAACGCAGCCUACGUGAGUUGGAUUGGAGCUCCAGAAAGUCAACCUGCUGGUCCAGGUGCGAAAGGAGUUCAGAUUUGCAGGAUGUCCCCACCGAACUUUCGUGUGUGCUUCUUUGUCUUUUGCGUUCUGUUUGUGUUUCUCUGUGCAGAGACUUGGGGGAAACACGAGAUUCUCUCUGUAGUUUAUUAUUUUAUUGGGUUGAAGGAUUUUUUUUUUUAAUCUGUUGCGGCCUGUAUAAUCAUACCCUUCAUGUUCACAUGAGCAGGAGUCAAAUAAAGUCACUAAUUUAUGUGAAUGUGCUGGCUCUGUCUUUCUAUG